UACGGAGGGGGCAAGCGUUGUUCGGAAUUACUGGGCGUAAAGGGCGCGCAGGCGGCUGCUCAAGUCAGGCGUGAAAGGCCUGGGCUCAACCCGGGAAUUGCGCUUGAGACUGGGCUGGCUUGAGUGCGGGAGAGGAUGGUGGAAUUCCCAGUGUAGAGGUGAAAUGCGUAGAUAUUGGGAGGAACACCAGUGGCGAAGGCGGCUCACUGGACCGGUACUGACGCUGAUGCGCGAAAGCGUGGGGAGCAAACAGG
rnacentral:rRNA from 1 species